AAAUGAAUAGACGGGGGCCCGCACAAGCGGAGGAACAUGUGGUUUAAUUCGAUGAUACGCGAGGAACCUUACCCGGGCUCAAACGACAGGGGAAUAUAUGUGAAAGCAUAUAGCUAGCAAUAGUCGCUGUCGAGGUGCUGCAUGGUUGUCGUCAGCUCGUGCCGUGAGGUGUCGGCUUAAGUGCCAUAACGAGCGCAACCCCUGUCUUUAGUUACUAACAAGUAAAGUUGAGGACUCUAGAGAGACUGCCGGCGCAAGCCGUGAGGAAGGAUGGGAUGACGUCAAAUCAGCACGGCCCUUACGUCCGGGGCGACACACGUGUUACAAUGGUCGGCACAGCGGGAAGCCAUAUGGUGACAUAGAGCGGAACCCGAAAGCCGGUCUCAGUUCGGAUCGGAGUCUGCAACUCGACUCCGUGAAGCUGGAUUCGCUAGUAAUCGCGCAUCAGCCAUGGCGCGGUGAAUACGUUCCCGGGCCUUGUACACACCGCCCGU
rnacentral:rRNA from 1 species